UUUAGUUUAUGUUAUUUAAACUAUAUUUUUUUGAAAUUUCAUUCUUCCUUCUUCAGAGGAGAAAAAAAAAUGGGAGGCUCUUUGAAACCCCCCCCCAAUGCCUACCGACGGUUGGGUUUCUCACCGCCGUUCACCUGUCCGCCGCACCGCCACUAAAUCCGACGGCCGACGAAGGGCAAUAGCAGGCUUUUAAAGCCCGUUUCCGGUUUAGUCAGAAAGUUAAGUCUUUGAGCCCCGUAAGCAACGAAAUAGAGGCUCUCGACCCUCCCUCUCCGAAUCCAGAUCCGAUGCCGACGAGAGGCCACCGACGGCACAAACCGAUUCAGAUGGUGUCAGACGCGUUGGGUGGCGGCUGGUCAGAGGCGUGCAUGCGCGAGGGGCAGACGAAGAGGCCACGCAAAGCAGCGGCUAGCUAGGGUUUAUUUUGCUGAAAAGUUUUGUUCUUUGUGGGCUAGGGUUGGUUGGGGUAUUGGGCUAAAAAAACUGGGUUUGGGCUGAAAAUUGGGCUAGUUCGUUUGGGUUAAUUGUAAAUGGAUUUUUUUUAAUUCUGGAUUUUGGGUUUCUAUUUUGGGCCCGGGCAAAAAUGGGCUCUUACAUAGUCAUUAUAAAAAGAAAAUGAAUUCUUGAA